CCUACGGGAGGCAGCAGUGGGGAAUAUUGGACAAUGGGGGAAACCCUGAUCCAGCGACGCCGCGUGUGUGAAGAAGGCCUGCGGGUUGUAAAGCACUUUUAGUGGGGAUGAAAAAUUCAGGGCUAAUAUCCCUGGGUCUUGACCUAACCC
rnacentral:rRNA from 1 species